ACUGACGGUAAACUGUUGCACGGCAGUGCCGACCAUGUUCGCGAGGGCUUCUGCAGUCCAAAAAGAAAGCGAGUCGAUUAUUAAAGUGCUCAUUAGAAACGCCCUACCGACAAUUACCUAAAAAGUACUCUUAACCGAUGAUUAUUUAUUCGCAGUAAUAUCAACAUAGAAGAAGCAACAGUUUUUCUUUUAUUGCCGGUAACCAUGACGAUUAUGCUAUUUGAAAAAUAAGAUCGGCUCAGUGAAGACGAUGGCGGCUGCAAUUAAAGAGCGCUUCUUCCUCUGUGCUCUGUGGCCCUUAAAUAAUUUUCUAAUAGCAACAGGCGUUCUGGUAAAUCAAAACAAUUCACCAUGGAAACGUCGUUUAUCUCUUUUUUGGAGUUUUUUUGUGUUGGGUUUGACGAUUCAAAGCAACAUUUAUAUAUGGAUCACAGACUUCAAGUCUUUCAACAUCCUCUUUUCCGAUCAGGAUAUAAGUAUAGAUCAGUUGAUUCGCGAUGUACUCAUGAUUGACGCGAUUCGGCUAAUCUAUCUUGUCUUCGAUGCAGUUAUUCACAUCAGUUUAGUCUUUAGUAUCUGGCCGUCAGUGAAUUUGUAUCUGGAAACUCUCGAAUCAGUCGAUUUCAAUUUGGGUAGCCCAAAGCUGUCACACCUGAAACGAUACUCACUCGUUGGUCUAGCGAACAUGCUUUUCGAGGUUUUUUUUUUCUCGACGUUUCGACUCUAUCGGAUGUUAUCCAACUCAGCAAUUAUAUGGCCCCUCGCAAUUCAGAGUUACAUCAAACUAUUUGCCAAUCAUUGGUUUAGCGUUGUACCUGUUUGGAUCUACUACAUAUGCGGCCAACUCCAUGUUUUCUACGUCCAGAAAAUGGUUGUUAGGUUAAAUUUACUUAACGAACUGUCAAGAAACACUACAACUGUGCAUCGAAUUGUUUCUCCACGUUCAUUUACCAUCCUGCGAUCUCUGACACAACUGUACUCGGCCGCUGAAUUGCUCCAUCAUCGUUUCAGUACAAUGUUGAUGAUAAAUUCUUGCUCGACGCUAAUCAGCAUGUUCUCUGCUUCUUACUAUUUGAUCGAGUCUUUUCGUCAAGGAGAUAUGAUUAUGCUUUGCCGGGACAGCAGUGACAUGAUAACAUCCUUUAUUCGAUUCUGGCUCAUGUGUCAUACCGCUGAUCGGAUACGAGAGGCUGUAAGCUGCGGAAUGCAUCCCAAUCCUGCGAGAGUUAAGAGACCACACCGCUGGAAAGGCGGAUGUUAUGGCUUCUACCGACAGGGUUAAAGUUACGUCAUUCAUCAUUGAAAUAUCACAGUUGAACAAGAAUGGAGAUCGACAGAGUUUGUACGGGUCACUACCUUUAUCGAAGAGACUUAUUAUUCCGACGAUGGAGAUUAUUUUCACGUACCUGAUCAUCAUCUACCA
rnacentral:misc_RNA from 1 species